ACCGACCUGUUUACACCGACCUAUCUACAAAUCUGGAAUCCUCUCUCUAGAAAUCUCGAAGCUUUUAUUUUGACCGACCUAUUUCCACCGACAAGAGUCUUCUAUCUACAAAUCUGGAAGCCUCUGUUACACCGACAGAAGGCUCUAUAUAUACCGAAAUUAGCUGACAAUUUUGGGUUGCCACAGAAAGUCCAGAAACCCGUCAAGCAGAGAGAGAGAGAGAGAGAGAGAUUCAGGAAAGGGGAUUCUCACCUCAUCAUCUCAGCGCUAUACUGAAAACUUUGAAUGGGUUUUGUCAUGAGAAGCAACCAAGUCGUGCUGCCAUUUUGCCUAAAGAACAAUGACGUUUACAUCUAUGCAAUCUAAAUGGGAAAAACUGCAUGUUCUUCAGAAGGUACUGCGUUUCACACUCAUUGGCUUGCAAUAAUAGUUGUCGAAAACCAAUUAUAAUGUGAUAUUUCAAUAUAAACUUGAGAGAGAUGCAAAGUGGGUAACCGAGUUUUGGUCAAAACAAUUAGAAAGCAGUUAUUAGGAUGAUUACUUGGAGGUGUCAAACACUUUCUCCCUGUAAUAUGAUACUAGCUAAGUGAUACACUUUUGAUAGCUUCCUGGAAUGUUCUGCCCUCCAACUUAUGA